CUCCGGCCCAACUGCUACAGUUGGGCCUUCUCGUGCGAAUGCAAUUGCAGCCGUUGGACCUAACUAUGUGAAACCAAACAAAAAUUUAAUAGAUGUAUAAAAUUUCAACUACACUGCAGUUGAAAAUGCAUACAAUCAAGCAGUCCCAAACUGCAGCACGCUUAAGACCUAGCCACCGUCCAAAGUAUUAUAGCUGGAUUAAGAAAUUCAGUCCGGCCUUAUCUUAUAUAUAUAACUAUUCCAAAUUCUAGAAAUGUUAUAUAGCGCUUAUCUGACCUAACAUUUAAGACAGCUUCUCUAUUCGGAGAAGCAAUAUUCAAUUACUCUUCCAACAA
rnacentral:lncRNA from 1 species